rnacentral:misc_RNA from 1 species
AUAAAACUUGAACUCAACACAAAUAUUAUUUCUUAAAUCCGAACCCAUCCAAAGCCCAAUUAUAUACGACCCAAACCCAUCCCCGUAAGGUUCGAUCAGGUCAAUGCCUAAAAUACCCAAUCUAUUGCCAUCCUUACAUCAAGGGGCUUAGAAGUUUGUGGCCUAUAAGAGUGUCCCUUGCAUUCGUACAACCUUGACAUGCUCAUGAUAAAGACCAUAUCUGUCGAAU